GAUGAACGCUGGCGGCGUGCCUAAUACAUGCAAGUCGAGCGAACAGACGAGGAGCUUGCUCCUCUGACGUUAGCGGCGGACGGGUGAGUAACACGUGGAUAACCUACCUAUAAGACUGGGAUAACUUCGGGAAACCGGAGCUAAUACCGGAUAAUAUAUUGAACCGCAUGGUUCAAUAGUGAAAGACGGUUUUGCUGUCACUUAUAGAUGGAUCCGCGCCGCAUUAGCUAGUUGGUAAGGUAACGGCUUACCAAGGCAACGAUGCGUAGCCGACCUGAGAGGGUGAUCGGCCACACUGGAACUGAGCCACGGUCCAGACUCCUACGGGAGGCAGCAGUAGGGAAUCUUCCGCAAUGGGCGAAAGCCUGACGGAGCAACGCCGCGUGAGUGAUGAAGGUCUUCGGAGCGUAAAACUCUGUUAUGAGGGAAGAACAAAUGUGUAAGUAACUAUGCACGUCUUGACGGUACCUAAUCAGAAAGCCACGGCUAACUACGUG
rnacentral:rRNA from 1 species